rnacentral:rRNA from 1 species
AGAGGUGGCGAGCGUUGUUCGGAUUUACUGGGCGUAAAGGGUGCGUAGGUGGUUUUGUAUGUCGGAUGUGAAAGCCCAUCGCUCAACGAUGGAAUGGCAUUCGAAACUGCAGAACUUGAGUGCAGGAGGGGAGAGCGGAAUUCUUGGUGUAGCGGUGAAAUGCGUUGAUAUCAAGAAGAACACCGGUGGCGAAGGCGGCUCUCUGGAAUGCAACUGACACUGAGGCACGAAAGCUGGGGGAGCGAACAGGAUUAGAUACCCUGGUAGUCCCCAGCCCGUAAACGGUGUGCACUUGGUGUGGAGGGUAUUGACCCCCCUCCGUGCCGGAGCUAACGCGUUAAGUGCACCGCCUGGGAGUACGGCCGCAAGGCUA